rnacentral:rRNA from 1 species
GACGAACGCUGGCGGCGUGCUUAACACAUGCAAGUCGAACGGACAGGCCCUGCUUUUGUGGGGUGCUCGAGUGGCGAACGGGUGAGUAACACGUGAGUAACCUGCCCUUGACUUUGGGAUAACUUCUGGAAACUGGGGCUCAUACCGGAUAGGAGCUCCUGCUGCAUGGUGGGGGUUGGAAAGUUUCGGCGGUUGGGGAUGGACUCGCGGCUUAUCAGCUUGUUGGUGUGGUAGUGGCUUACCAAGGCUUUGACGGGUAGCCGGCCUGAGAGGGUGACCGGCCACAUUGGGACUGAGAGACGGCCCAGACUCCUACGGGAGGCAGCAGUGGGGAAUAUUGCACAAUGGGCGGAAGCCUGAUGCGGCAACGCCGCGUGCGGGAUGACGGCCUUCGGGUUGUAAACCGCUUUCGCCUGUGACGAAGCGUGAGUGACGGUAAUGGGUAAAGAAGCAACGGCUAACUACGUG